rnacentral:tRNA from 1 species
UAGCUCAGUGGUAGAGUUCAUGUUUAGCAUGCAUGAGGUCCUGGGUUCAAUCCCCAG